CCUACGGGAGGCAGCAGUAGGGAAUCUUCCACAAUGGGCGAAAGCCUGAUGGAGCAACGCCGCGUGGGUGAAGAAGGUCUUCGGAUCGUAAAACCCUGUUGUUAGAGACGAAAGCGCGUGAGAGUAACUGUUCACGCUUCGACGGUAUCUAACCAGACAGCCACGGCUAACUACGUGCCAGCAGCCGCGGUAAUACGGAGGGGGCAAGAGUUAUCCGGAGUUAUGGGGCGUAAAGUGAACGCAGGCGGUCUGUUAAGUCUGAUGUGAAAGGCGUAGGCUUAACGGGCGUAGUGCAUUGGAAACUGGGGGACUUGAGUGCAGAAGAGGUGAAUGGAACUCCAGGUGUAGCGGUGAAAUGCGUAGAUAUAUGGAAGAACACCAGUGGCGAAAGCGGCUCUCUGGUCUGUAACUGACACUGAGGUUCGAAAGCGUGGGUAGCAAACAGGAUUAGAUACCCCUGUAGUC
rnacentral:rRNA from 1 species